rnacentral:rRNA from 1 species
UACGUAGGGACCAAGCGUUGUUCGGAUUUACUGGGCGUAAAGGGCUCGUAGGCGGCCAACUAAGUCAGACGUGAAAUCCCUCGGCUUAACCGGGGAACUGCGUCUGAUACUGGAUGGCUUGAAUCCGGGAGAGGGAUGCGGAAUUCCAGGUGUAGCGGUGAAAUGCGUAGAUAUCUGGAGGAACACCGGUGGCGAAGGCGGCAUCCUGGACCGGCAUUGACGCUGAGGAGCGAAAGCCAGGGGAGCAAACGGG